rnacentral:rRNA from 1 species
UUGUCUCAAAGAUUAAGCCAUGCAUGUCUCAGUACAAGCCAAAUUAAGGUGAAACCGCGAAAGGCUCAUUAAAUCAGUUAUGGUUCCUUAGAUCGUACCCACAUUUACUUGGAUAACUGUGGUAAUUCUAGAGCUAACACAUGCAAACAGAGCUCCAACCGGAAACGGAAGGGGCGCUUUUAUUAGAUCAAAACCAAUCGGUGGCGGUUUCCGUCAUCGUACAACUUGGUGACUCUGAAUAACUUUACGCUGAUCGCACGGUCUCGCACCGGCGACGCAUCUUUCAAAUGUCUGCCUUAUCAACUGUCGAUGGUAGGUUCUGCGCCUACCAUGGUCGUAACGGGUAACGGGGAAUCAGGGUUCGAUUCCGGAGAGGGAGCCUGAGAAACGGCUACCACAUCCAAGGAAGGCAGCAGGCGCGCAAAUUACCCACUCCCGGCACGGGGAGGUAGUGACGAAAAAUAACGAUACGGGACUCAUCCGAGGCCCCGUAAUCGGAAUGAGUACACUCUAAACCCUUUAACGAGGAUCAAUUGGAGGG